GAGAGAGACUGUAGGACAGGUAGUUGUGUAGGUAGAACUAUAGCAGAGAGAGACUGUAGGACAGGUAGUUGUGUAGGUAGAACUAUAGCAGAGAGACAACAGACUGUAGGACAGGUAUAUGUGUAGGUAGAACUAUAGCAGAGAGACAACAGACUGUAGGACAGGUAUAUGUGUAGGUAGAACUAUAGCAGAGAGACAACAGACUGUAGGACAGGUAUAUGUGUAGGUAGAACGAUAGCAGAGAGACAACAGACUGUAGGACAGGUAUAUGUGUAGGUAGAAC